AUGUUCAGUGAUACGUGCUUGUCACUGGAAAUGAAGGAACCCUCGCCCUCUCAAUCGGCCGUCCUCUUCUGCGCUUGCUGUACCUCGCAGAGCUUCAAGAGGUGGACCUCCCUUAGAAAACCGUUCCCCAACUUGGACGAUGGAGCGGCGAACUCGCAGACAAUCCGGCAGACUCCAGUGGCCUACAGCGGCUCUCCAGGAGACACCGUGACACUGAGAUGCACUCUGACGGGCAGCGGUACCUUUAGUAUGUUCUGGUACCGGCAGCGGGCGGGAGAGCAGCUUCGGAACCUGUUUUAUUCCGUGAGCCCGGGUUCGGUUACACCGCAGGAGGCUGUCGAUGGAUUCACCGCCGUGCGACCCGAAGAAACGCUAUUCCUCCUGAACCUCUCCGAGCUGCAAGUCAGUCACUCGGCCUUGCUUCUCUGCGCCUGGAGUACUCACAGCGGAGCCGACAGAUACAGGAGCGCUACAAAAACCCUUCAGAAGCGAGAGUCAGGGGAGCGGAAGCCAGCUGGAGGGCUGUAA